UAAAUACUCCCUUCGUUCGGAAUUACUUGUCGCGGAAAUGGAUGUAUCUAGACAUAUUUUAAUUCUAGAUACAUCCAUUUCCGAGACAAGUAAUUCCGAACGGAGGGAGUACUUU
rnacentral:pre_miRNA from 1 species